rnacentral:rRNA from 1 species
UGCUUCCAGGAAAAGCCUCUAAGCUUCAGAUUGUAAGGAAUCGUACCCCAAACCGACACAGGUGGUCGGGUAGAGAAUACCAAGGCGCUUGAGAGAACUCGGGUGAAGGAACUAGGCAAAAUGGUACCGUAACUUCGGGAGAAGGUACGCUCUUGAUGGUGAAGUCCCUUGCGGAUGGAGCUGACGAGAGUCGCAGAUACCAGGUGGCUGCAACUGUUUAUUAAAAACACAGCACUGUGCAAAAUCGUAAGAUGACGUAUACGGUGUGACGCCUGCCCGGUGCCGGAAGGUUAAUUGAUGGGGUUAGCGUAAGCGAAGCUCUUGAUCGAAGCCCCGGUAAACGGCGGCCGUAACUAUAACGGUCCUAAGGUAGCGAAAUUCCUUGUCGGGUAAGUUCCGACCUGCACGAAUGGCGUAAUGAUGGCCACGCUGUCUCCACCCGAGACUCAGUGAAAUUGAAAUCGCUGUGAAGAUGCAGUGUACCCGCGGCUAGACGGAAAGACCCCGUGAACCUUUACUACAGCUUGGCACUGAACAUUGAACCUACAUGUGUAGGAUAGGUGGGAGGCUUUGAAGACGUGACGCCAGUUGCGUUGGAGCCGUCCUUGAAAUACCACCCUUGUAUGUUUGAUGUUCUAACGUUGGCCCCUAAUCGGGGUUGCGGACAGUGCCUGGUGGGUAGUUUGACUGGGGCGGUCUCCUCCCAAAGAGUAACGGAGGAGCACGAAGGUGGGCUAAUCACGGUUGGACAUCGUGAGGUUAGUGCAAUGGCAUAAGCCCGCUUAACUGCGAGAAUGACGGUUCGAGCAGGUGCGAAAGCAGGUCAUAGUGAUCCGGUGGUUCUGAAUGGAAGGGCCAUCGCUCAACGGAUAAAAGGUACUCCGGGGAUAACAGGCUGAUACCGCCCAAGAGUUCAUAUCGACGGCGGUGUUUGGCACCUCGAUGUCGGCUCAUCACAUCCUGGGGCUGAAGUCGGUCCCAAGGGUAUGGCUGUUCGCCAUUUAAAGUGGUACGCGAGCUGGGUUUAGAACGUCGUGAGACAGUUCGGUCCCUAUCUGCCGUGGGCGUUGGAAGAUUGAAGGGGGCUGCUCCUAGUACGAGAGGACCGGAGUGGACGAACCUCUGGUGUUCGGGUUGUGUCGCCAGACGCAUUGCCCGGUAGCUAAGUUCGGAAUCGAUAACCGCUGAAAGCAUCUAAGCGGGAAGCGAGCCCUGAGAUGAGUCUUCCCUGAUACUUUAAGUAUCCUGAAGGGUUGUUCGAGACUAGAACGUUGAUAGGCAGGGUGUGUAAGCGCUGUGAGGCGUUGAGCUAACCUGUACUAAUUGCCCGUGAGGCUUAACCAUACAACACCCAAAGGGUUUUG